CAUAGAGGGAUGGCAAUAGCAUGUGGAGUCUGUCGUGUUUGUUUCUGGAAAUAGAUUAUACAUCACUUACACUUACCUGGACCGUCCUCUGAUUAAUCAUUCUAUUGAUAGUGUGUAAAUGAACGGACAUAACAGCAAGCAGACAAUAGGUGGCAACAUUGCUGAUAUGAGUGGACAAGCAACUUGUAGUGUUAGUCGUCUUGUCAUUUUGUAUGCAACUGUCACUAUUGCAGUCUGUUGAUGUGGCCUGCAUUGCAAGCAAGGGAGAACCGGGUGUCCCCGGAGUGCCGGGUCCUCCAGGAAGACAGAUGAGCAAUGGAUGUAGAAUUUAGUGAUGUGAAGAUUACUAGUGAGGUACUGGUCAUGAUGAUAGAAAAUAUGUGGGAGAAGUGGGUGAGUGCAGUGUUGAUGAGAUAACGUGUGAGGGUUGGUUAGGUGAGACUACAGGAGGUAGUAUGGGGAUUAUAAUAUUUGUCAGCAUGUUGAACAUAUGACAGACCAAGUUUUGUAUUUUCGGACAUUUUGCUGCUUGCCAAUUUGCACCAGGGUUGACCAAGGUGCUGGUGUACCCCAGCCUGGCAGGGUAUGGCAUGUUGGAUAAAGUGAGGUGAUAUGACCAGCCUUCCCUAAAUGCUAGG